CAUCACUACGCUAGAUGCAUAUCAAUAAGCGGAGGAAAAGUAACUAACAAGGAUUCCCUUAGUAACGGCGAGUGAAGCGGGAAGAGCUCAAAUUUGAAAUCUUCAAGGUUUUACCUUGACGAAUUGUAGUUUAAAGAAGUGCUUUCUGUUGAAGUUUUGGUAAGAGUUCUUUGGAAUAGGACAUCAUAGAGGGUGAGAAUCCCGUAUUUGACCAUUACUUUCAGCUGUGUGAUACACUUUCAAAGAGUCGGAUUGUUUGGGAAUGCAGUCCAAAAUGGGUGGUAAAUUUCAUCUAAAGCUAAAUAUUGGCGAGAGACCGAUAGCGAACAAGUACCGUGAGGGAAAGAUGAAAAGAACUUUGAAAAGAGAGUUAAACAGUACGUGAAAUUGUCAAAAGGGAAGCGUUUGACACCAGUGUUGUUCUUCUGAAAAUCAAUUAAAGAACUGUUUAUGCUAAGUUGUUUAGACUUUAUCAGCUAACUGUUUAGUUUUGAGCUUUUCUUUAAUGCACUUUUCAGUUAACAAGUCAACAUCAAUUUCUUUUGCUGUAAAAAAGCUUGAGGAAGGUGGCUUGAGAUUCGUCUUAAGUGUUUAUAGCCUCUUGCCUAUGCAGUCGGAGAGAUUGAGGUCUGCAGCGUAGAUCCUUCGGGGCUAAAUGCAUUUGUGCUAAGUUAUAGCAUUUUAUAGACAACUUGUUGACUAUGAUUUGUCUUGUAGCUUACUCGCUUAUGUUAUUUUACCUACGCUUAGGAUGUUGACGCAUGAGAUAUACGC
rnacentral:rRNA from 1 species